CUGACAGACUCGCUCGUUCCAGCAGCAGUCUGAGCUGGUGGAGAGCAAGCAUCAAGUCAAACCAAAAGAUUUGAACGGACGGAGUGGCCUCUGAAAGCGAAGGUAACUUUCUGUUGGUCUUGCCUCUGAAUACCACGUCAUGAGCCACACUAAGGCUGAGGGUGGAGCUAAAAUGAAUCCCCCAGAGUAUCCUGAUCUCCCUCCACCAUAUCAGGAUCAGCCCCAAGUGGUACAGGUUCCACCCCAAGUGUAUCAGAGCGCACCCCACGCGUACCAAAGCCAACCCCAAGUGUAUCUGAGCGCACCCCACGCGUACCAAAGCCAACCCCAAGUGUAUCAGAGCGCACCCCAAGCGUACCAAAGCCAACCCCAAGUGUAUCAGAGCGCACCCCAAGCGUACCAAAGCCAACCCCAAAUGUAUCAGAGCGCACCCCAAGCCUACCAGAGUCAGCCCCAAGCGCACCAGAGCCAGACUCAGAGGAACCAGCACAGCAAGACUAGGACCUCUGAGAGACAAAGCAAGUGCCCCAAAUGUUGCCUGAAGACUCGUGACUGCCUGAUGAGCGCUGAGUGUGGCAGAGCACUCCAAAUCUCUAGCGUGGUCGCCAGCUGUGCUUUGUGCCUGCGUUUUUUUGUCUAAUCUCCAAUCAGAAACAGAUUACCAAGCCGUGGGGACUACCAGGAUCGUCCAACAUCCUGUCAGGAAGGCAUCUUGUGCUUUUCUUCUCAUCUGGAAAAAAUGAGGGUGAAAAAACAUUGAACACUGUUAUCUCUGAAUACAUGCUAGUUCGCACUUUAAGGAAGGAAUUAUGUUUAUGUUGUGUGUUUAAAGCAAAAGUUAUUCAUAAUUCUGAAUUGUUUUACUGUCUUUAAGAUUAUGAGUUGUGUAUUACACUAAAGAAUGCAAAAUAAGACAGCUCUACUGACUUAUUGCCAAUUCCACACAAAUAAAAAGAAUACAGGAAGCCCUUUGGUCAAAUUGUGUAUCAGUUAGAAUUGAAAAUGACACCUUUUAUACACUUUAUAAGCGCCGCCCCUCUGCGGUCUUCAUUAACAGCCGACACCCUGCACACACAAAUGAGCAAAAACGAUAGGAAAACAAAGUGAAUAAGUUUAGAACUCAUUACUUGGCCCUUUAAGAUUCGGAAUACACAGAAUUGAGUUAUUUCGUAGUUUGUUCAAUUUGACUUCCUUUACAUCAGUACUGCUUUCAUUUAACGCAAACUCUACAGCUAUAGAAGGGAUGAUGUCAUCACUAACUGCUUCAGAUCAUACCAUGUACUGUGAUUUAAUUUUGGGUAAGGUGGGGGAAAUUACGCUAUGUAUGAGUGUAUUAUAAUACUGUAUUUGUAGCAUCAUUGCUAUCAUUGCUAUUGAAAUUCAGUUGUGGAGAUUCAUAAUGUUAGUUGUGGUUAAUAGACCAAACUAUGGCUAUAGUGGGCAUUGUGGGUAGGCUAAGUGUAUAAAGGGGGAGCUGGGGUUAGAUAAAGGCCUUUUUGGUGGAUGCCGGGUGACCUUGUGCAGCCGCACUGCUAUAAAGACGUAUUUUACUUCAUUUAAGAAUAUGAGUAGAUUUUUGCCAUUUUUUUUAAAGUAAAAGUUGAUUUCUUUGAUACUUUCAUGAUACUACUUUGCUUACUUUUGGCCACAUGUUUGAGUCUUCCCUGCCAAUAAACGUGACAAGCCUGGGAAA